AUGGCCGUUGGGCUGAGUAUAAAGGCUCUUUGUUGCGCUCACACAAAAGCAGCCGAGACCCGCUUUGCAGCAGGCCGUCUGAGCGCAUCGGAGGAACUCAACUGAAUUUCCAAAUGGCCCCCGUAGGCUGAGGCGGUGGGAGCAACGAAAAGGCAGAGGGAAUCCCAGGCCUGCCCGCCCUCAUUUCCAAAACCUCUGUCAAUCCCCGGGUGCUCGUCCUGGGAGGCCGGGGCUGCGCUCAUUCGGAAGGGAGGAAGCCAAGAGGAAAACCUCCUUUUACCAUGCAGGCCCACAGGGGGUAUUAAACAUUCACAUUCUUGUAGAGUUUCUUCCCUUCACUAGGGUAGAAACAGUAUCUGGAAAAGUUUGGAUACACCAAAAAGAAAAAGAAAAAAAAAAAAAGAAAGAAAAAAUAUCAACAAUAGCAACUUAAAAAAAAAAAAAACAUAACAAACCAGUUGCCAUCAGCCCAAAGUGGUAGUAGCAGCAGCCGGCGCGUGUGAUCCACUUACUUGUCCGACUCUUGUGACAUGUUUGAUCCAAUGAACUCGCUCCCCUUUUCCUGGAGCCUCAGCCUCUGGUGAAACUGGACUUUCAAGUCUGUGCAGGUGAAGGUGUGUGAGAGCGCCCGAGAUGGCAGAACAAGAGCUACAGAAAUACAGUGGAGACAAUUUUCAAAGAUUUUGUUGAUGAGAGAGAUGAAGAAAAGGGGAAAAUCUACUUUUGAUCAUGACAGAUUGAAAAGAGGCUUUCCAGAUAUUUGCAGUGCCAAAGGGCAAUUUGAUGUACCCUGCUUCACCAAGCCUCUACACACAAAUGGACAUUGAGAUUAUUUUCUGCCCUGAGUAUUUUAGUCAUUUGGUAAGUCUUGCCCCAUUUUAGCCUCAAAACAACAUUUGGAAGAGGCCAGGGCAAUAUUCUUGUACCCAUGAGUAAGAUGUGAGCCUGCUCCUCACUGUGUCUCCAGACACAAGCUGACCAUGUCAUCUGGCGGACAACUGCACCUAGAGACACUCAGCACGUCCCCUAGAGACAGUGACUGUCCCUGACUGGAGUGUGGCCAUGAAGCAAGAUUGAUUUAGCUGAGUUUUAUUUCCUUGUACUUGUGUGUUUUGAAGUCCCUUGUAUUCGUUUCAUCUCAUCUUUCAGAAAUUUUGUACUGCUUAUGUUAAGUUCCUGUAGCAGAAUUUGAUGUAAUCACAGCGAUCCUAUUUUAAAUGACCCAA